rnacentral:rRNA from 1 species
GAUGAACGUUAGCGGGAGGCUUAAUACAUGCAAGUCGAGCGGUAAGUUUUUAUAGCAAUAUGAAGACCUAGAGCGGCGCACGGGUGAGUAACGCGUACACGACCUGGCCUAAACUGGGGGAUAGCCUUGGGAAACUGAGAGUAAUCCCGCAUGUGAUUAUGUUACUGAUGGUGAUAUAAUUAAAGCUUCGGCGGUUUAGGAUGGGUGUGCGUCUGAUUAGCUAGUUGGUAGUGUAACGGACUACCAAGGCGAUGAUCAGUAGGGGGCGUGAGAGCGUGACCCCCCCACACGGGUACUGAGACACGGACCCGACUCCUACGGGAGGCAGCAGUAAGGAAUAUUGGUCAAUGGACGGAAGUCUGAACCAGCCAUGCCGCGUGCAGGAAGAAGGCGCUCUGCGUUGUAAACUGCUUUUAUAUGGGAAGAAUAGGCGCGAUUUAUCGUGUUGUGACGGUACCAUAGGAAUAAGCACCGGCUAACUCCGUGCCAGCAGCCG